GAGAGGGUGCGUGCAGGUGGUGAGCUGAGAGCGUUAGCGUGUUUCAUGUCGGUUUUUCGCAAAUAAUUGACAGCUAAAGUCAACGUUGUGUACGCGUUGUGGGAAUGUGCACUUUGAAUGUAUCUGCAGCGUUUCGGAGUUUGCAGGACGGCGUGCUGCACGCCGCCAUGGAUUUCGGCAGGCUGACGCGGAAGCACGGCGUGAGGAUCGCGCUGAGCCCCUCGUACUCGGUGGAGGACUGCAGUCUGGCCGUGGGGAAGCUGGUGGGCCACCGCAGCGUGAAGUCCGCAGCGCGCAUGAACAACGCGGUGGUCAUCUUCCUCGACAGUGUGGAAAAAGCGGACGCGGUGGUGGUCAGCGGGAUCGCGGUGCACGGCGCGCUCGUGCCCGUUCUGCCUCUCUCCACGCCGGCGGUGAGAGUGACGGUGUCGAACGUCCCCCCGUUCAUCGGGGACGAGGCUCUGGUCAAGGAGCUGUCAAAGCACGGGAAGGUGGUGUCUCCCGUAAAGAAGGUCUCUUCGGGGUGCAAGUCCCCGCUGCUGAGACACGUGGUUUCACACAAAAGGCAACUCCUCAUGGUCCUCAACAACAGGACCAAGGAGCUCAACCUGAUGUUUGGAGUCGAAGUGGAGGACUUUGUGUAUGUGGUGUUUGCCACUUCUGACAAUAUGAACUGUUUCAGGUGUGGCAGGAAAGGACAUCUCGCCAGGACAUGUCCGGGAAAGGACUCUACAGAGGGUGCAGGAGAACGAGGUGUGGAGGAUCGGGACAGUCAGGGAAGACAGGAGAAGACAGGUGGGGUGUGUGAGAGGGGAGAAGAUGGAGGGUGUGGUGGAGUCCAGCCGGCCUGCCAGGGGGGCGACAGAGUGACUGAGGGGCUGAUUGAGGCCCAACAGGUGGGCCAGGUGAGUGUGGGGGUGAAUGAAGAGACAGGUGGUGUCAGACGGCUCAGCCAAGAGAGAAGGGAAGGUGUGAGUGGGGUUCAACAGGUGGUUCUGGGGGGUGAAGAAGGGCAGGAGAAGCUGGAAAAAAGUCAAGAGACACGUGCUGAGGAAAUGCGGUCUGAAAGCAGCGCCGAUGACAUGGAGGGGGAGGAAGAGGAACGUAAAGCCCCCCUGAAGAGAAGGAAGACGAGGAGCAGCGGAGGAGCCUCUCGAGCCAAGAAAGGGUCAGAAAACAGAAGGAGCACAAGAGGGAAAGCGGGUGAACCCGGGUCCUCUGCUGACUGGGAUUCCACUGACAGCGCCUCUUCUGGUGGGACAGUGACCAGCAGGUACGGGGUGGGGAGAGUGAAGCUCUUCCUGAAGGUAA
ensembl:lncRNA